CGUGAGGAGUGUUUAAGCUCCAUGAGUGCGACAAACUGUUGGAUCUCCCUAAACCCUGUUAUGCAGAAGUUUGCCAGAAAGCCCAAGAGGUCAGUAUAAGAUGAAUAUUGACAUAUUGGAUAAACUUGUGCUGAGAGAGCAAGUGAAUUAUACUUGAUCUCUCUGGUCUGGGAAGUGUUCAUGUAAAUUGAAAGAACUGAUGUGUCUUUUGAAUUAAAUAAGUGCUUUGAUGAUGUAAUGAGCAAAUAAAAAUAGUGAUGUGUUAUGUCAUAAAUUGUGUUAAUACACAAACUCGAUUAGCAUUAUUACAGUGGUCAAAAUAUUUUAAUUUCAUGUUGACUGGGUUCUAGUAAAUACUUUGUGCAGAAAUACUAAGGAAGUCAUUUGUGACAUUAGGUUACAAUAAGAUGGUGACUUCCAUCCCAGCUUUGCUUUCUCACUCUGUUAAAGCAUAGUUUACUCUAUGGAAACCAGCUUCCUGUCAUAAGGCAGCCCAGAGAGAAGGAACAUAGUUAUGUGUUGUGAAGACACUCAGCCUAUCAAGAGGUCCAUGUGAUGAGGAACUGAGGACCACUAGCAACUUUGAGGGAGUGUGGAAACAGAUCUUCCCCUGUCAACCUUGAGAGGACUACAGCCCUAUGUAACAGUCUGACUGCUACCUCUUGAGAGACCCUGAGGCAUAACCACCCAGCCAAGCCACUCCCGGACACUUAAUCCACAGAAACCAUGAACCAAUAGAUGUUGAUUGGUUUAAGCUGCUAAACUUGGAACAAUUUAUUGCACAGCAACAAAAGAGCAGAUCACCUGCUGUUAAUUUCUUGCAAUUUUGAAAGCAACAAUUCCCUGCAAGACAUUAAAAGAAACAACUCUUUAAGGUGGAAGUCUUCCAUAGGAAAAUAUAGAAUGAGUUGCUCAGAGGAGGGGACAGCAGAUGGAGCUGCUGGCAGUCAUUUCAGCAGAUCAAUGGGGUUGUUGAAAGCUGAGUUAUGAAAAGAGCAUUGAACCACAAGUGUAAGAAGAAAACAUGGGAAAUCUUAAGCAAAAAAUGGUAGGAUCCAAUUUAUAUUUUUAAAGAUCAUUCUGGUUGUUGAGAUGAGAACUG
rnacentral:lncRNA from 1 species